AGGUUUAGGGUUAGGGUUAGGGUUAGGAUUAGGGUUAGGGUUAGGUUUAAGGAUUAGGGUUAGGGUUAAGGUUUAGGGUUAGGGUUAGGGUCAGGGUCAGGGUUAGGUUUAAGGAUUAGGGUUAGGGUUAGGGUUAGGGUUAGGGUUAGGGUUAGGAUUAGGGUCAGGGUUAGGUUUAAGGAUUAGGGUUAGGGUUAGGGUUAGGGUUAGGGUUAGGAUUAGGGUCAGGGUUAGGUUUAAGGUUUAGGGUUA
ensembl:lncRNA